rnacentral:rRNA from 1 species
CAGGACGAACGCUGGCGGCGUGCCUAAUACAUGCAAGUCGAACGGUCUUUUCUAUGGAAGCUUGCUUCCACUGAGAAGAUAGUGGCGAACGGGUGAGUAACACGUGGGUAACCUGCCCAUAAGAGGGGGAUAACAUCCGGAAACGGGUGCUAAUACCGCAUAGUUUUCUUGAUCGCAUGAUCGGGAAAGGAAAGACGGCCUUUGUGCUGUCGCUUAUGGAUGGACCCGCGGCGUAUUAGUUAGUUGGUGAGGUAACGGCUCACCAAGACGAUGAUACGUAGCCGACCUGAGAGGGUGAUCGGCCACAUUGGGACUGAGACACGGCCCAAACUCCUACGGGAGGCAGCAGUAGGGAAUCUUCCGCAAUGGACGAAAGUCUGACGGAGCAACGCCGCGUGAGUGAAGAAAGGUUUUCGGAUCGUAAAACUCUGUUGUCAGAGAAGAACAAGUUGGAGAGUAACUGCUCCAGCCUUGACGGUAUCUGACCAGAAAGCCACGGCUAACUACGUGCCAGCCGCUGC